GUUGGGAUCAGUGGAGUGCCAGGAAAAAGUCAGCGGAGUGCCACGUAUACAGAGCAGGCAGGGGCAUACCAAUCAUAGGGGUUCAGAGGAUUAACAGUAGAGGUGGGUGUAUCAGGAAGAUCAGGGAGGUACAUAUCAGGAGCAGCAGCACGUGCCUCAGCAUAAGGAACAAUGCGAAACUUAGGACGAGUGUAGAGCUUGCAAGCAGAAGCAGUAGAGGUGGGCACAGCAGGAGCAGCAGUCUUCAUUAGUGAGGAGUGAGGAGUUAAAUUUCCAGUAGCCUCUGCUAAAGGGUUUUUUCACCUGAGGAGUCAAGUUAAGUUGAAUGAGACAGUGAUCAGUCAAAGGAGCAGCAGAGAUACUAACAUCUACUUCAUUUUGGAUAAAGUUGUUUGAGAUUAGCCAGAAAUCAAUGCGAGAUUUAGAUGAGCCAUCUGGUUUGAACCAAGAAAAUGACUGUCUUAAUGGAUGAGCAAGUCUCCAGGGAUCAUUUACAUUAACGUCUAAACAGAAAUCUUGUAAAACUGUGUUUAUAUGAGGGGAAUGGAAUUUAGACGGCAGUCUAUCCAGCCAUUCAUCUUGAACCAUGUUAAAGUCUCCUCCUAAAAUGAUAUUGUCUGUGCAGUAUUUUCGACCAAGGUCUUUGAUAUGAUCAGAAAUUUCAGCUAAUAAUAAUUUGUUUAGGUUGGGAAUGUUGUAACCAUAGACAUUACACAAAAUCGGAAAAUUAUCAGUCAUUUUGAGGACACAAAUAAGCCAGUGGCCAUUACUAUCAUUUUUGUGAGUGAUUAUUUUAAAUUGACAGUUUUUAAACAGUCAAACAGGUGUAUGACCUUAAAAUGUUAACUACAACAUGCCUCUGUGGACUUAAAGCAUAGAACAAACCCUUAAACUAUCCAAAAUUUUAGAAACUUUUUCACAACAAUAAACAUAUGACUCAGAACUUCAAUUCAACUUCAAAUUGAAAGAAAUCAUUCAACCUGGUAGCACACGGACUCCGUUAACGUAUCCGAUGUGCCCUCGAUAGUAAACGUUCUGACCUGCCGCUCUCGCCUGCUCCAUUUUAGGCCAGACAGCAGCCCUGGCCUCUCGGUCGAACUUGCAGAAAUCUUGCUUGAAGAAGAUUCCCAACUCUUUGCAGGCCUUGGAAUCUUUGGUGAGCUUCCAGAAGAUGUCUCGGUAGUGCCUCAUGGUGAACUGGAUUAUUAUCUGGCGGUGCUUCCCGACUUCCCUCUUCCCCAGACGAUGCACCGUGUCUACUACGGUAUUCAGGGAUGAAGCAUGUUGUGGCGCGAUUUUAGCCAAGAUCUCCAGGGUUUCUUUGCGGGUAUUCUCAUCAUUUUUUUUCUUUAAAACCCUGUAUUUUCAGAUUCCAGCGCCGUUUGUAGCGCUCCAUCUCCAACACGCGCUCUUUCAAAUCAGCAUUCUCUUUAACGAGGGCAGGGACCGACUUCUCCAGAUCACAGAGUCUGCCUUUACAGUUUUUUAGUUCAUCAGCAUUCAUUUCAGUUAUCUUGGUCAGGUUGGCUAGUAUAAUGGAGUUUUCCCGAAGUUUCACAUCAAAGUCAUCAAAUCUGUCAGUCAGCUUGUUAAUAGCUGCGGUGAGGGCUGUCAGCUCUGGCUCGUUUUUGUUUGAAAUGAUUACCUUGCUGGGUUGUACUGCGGAUGGUUUGGUUGGUGUAACAGGGAUUUUCCUUUUGGUUGACGGCGCCACUACUUCAAUGGCAUAUUCAUGGUCCGUUGCCGCCGCUGGGACCGGGCUUUUGGAGGCUGAAGCUAGCUUAGCCUGGGCAUCAGGUUUUUCCCGGGUCAUCUUUAACUUCUUCAAAGAGUGCUUAAAGUUCGUUUGAGAGGCGUCUAAUAUUGAGUUUUGUUGUUAAAAAAUUUAAGAGAACAACAAAUGCCCGUUUAGCGGUUCAAAAUCGAGGUCUAAGUUGAUAUUCUGAGAUUCAAAUACAACAGCUCAAGGAGUACUGCCUGCCCGGACCGCCAUCUUGCCGGAACUCGCUCGCAGCCGUCACUAUGGCCGCUAGUCCCACCAACGAGCGCAUGUCUCCGUGUGAAGUUUCCUGUCCACCAGGCUGUUUGCACGCACUUUUCUUGAGUCUAAUCCAAACCUUAACCCUCGUGUCUGACUUUAAGACGCGGGAAAUACCCCAGGAGCCGGGAAAGUCGACGUGGAGCUGCUCCGUUGGACGUCACCGGGCUCAGGCGGUGUCACUUACCGGUGUGCGGGCUCCACAUGACGGCUGACAUACCGUACGGGGCUCGGGUUCAGCGGAGGAGUCACAUGGCACCAGCCGGACUUCCCUGAGGCUGUCUUGAGCUGCAUUUGUCCCAGUCAGUCAAAAAAUGUCCAAAUAUUACACACAAUUAUCAGAACUAUGGACUUGACAGCGUGCAAAAUCCAUGGUGAGUCUGUACAAGUUCAAUCUGGACUAUUUUUAGUUCAUUUCAGUGAACAGUUUGUUAAAAGUGGCUCCGCAGUUUCUAUUCUGGACUUGCACUGUCACCAAAC
ensembl:lncRNA